CUCGUAGGCGGCCAACUAAGUCAGACGUGAAAUCCCCAGGCUUAACUUGGGAACUGCGUCUGAUACUGGAUGGCUUGAGUUUGGGAGAGGGAUGCGGAAUUCCAGGUGUAGCGGUGAAAUGCGUAGAUAUCUGGAGGAACACCGGUGGCGAAGGCGGCAUCCUGGACCGACAUUGACGCUGAGGAGCGAAAGCCAGGGGAGCAAACG
rnacentral:rRNA from 1 species